rnacentral:rRNA from 1 species
UACGUAGGGGGCAGGCGUUGUCCGGAAUUAUUGGGCGUAAAGCGCGCGCAGGCGGCUUCUUAAGUCUGAUGUGAAAGCCCACGGCUCAACCGUGGAGGGUCAUUGGAAACUGGGGAGCUUGAGUGCAGGAGAGGAAAGCGGAAUUCCACGUGUAGCGGUGAAAUGCGUAGAGAUGUGGAGGAACACCAGUGGCGAAGGCGGCUUUCUGGCCUGUAACUGACGCUGAGGCGCGAAAGCGUGGGGAGCAAACAGG